rnacentral:rRNA from 1 species
AGUAUUAAAGGCAACGCCUGCCCGGUGAACAAUUAAACGGCCGCGGUACCCUAACCGUGCAAAGGUAGCGUAAUCAUUUGUCUAUUAAUUGUAGACCUGUAUGAAAGGCAAAAUGAGGGCCUGACUGUCUCUUGUAACUAAUCAAUUAAACUGAUCUCCCAGUACAAAAGCUGGAAUAAAAACAUAAGACCAGAAGACCCUGUGAAGCUUAAACUAAACUAUCAAACCACAUGAUAACUAAUUUUGGUUGGGGCGACCUUGGAAAUAAAAACAACUUCCAAACAAAAACUCUAUAACAGUAACAUCAAGGCUGACAGGCCAAACAACGACCCAGCUAAUGCUGACUAAUGAAACAAGUUACUCCAGGGAUAACAGCGCUAUCUUCUUCAAGAGCCCAUAUCAAAAAGAAGGUUUACGACCUCGAUGUUGGAUCAGGACAUCCUAAUGGUGCAGCCGCUAUUAAGGGUUCGUUUGUUCAACGAUUAACAGUCCU